UUAUCUUGGGAAAGUAAAUAUGGUGACUACAGGAAAUUUUUGAAAGUGAAAUGGGUGGCUGUGGGCGGCUGUCCCCUGUCCCAGGCUGUUGUCUUCAUCUCGAGGCUCUGAUUUAACUGAACUCCUCCAGGGCUGCUGUGGGCUUCCCGCCUGGCUUGUCGCCCUCGUCAUCUGGCUGUGACUGGAGACACUCAUGCAGUGCUUCCAAAAAGCAGAGCUGAGGAAGCAGGCUUUCCAGUCACUGGGUUUCUGCCGCUGAAGCUGGCCGGGUACUGCUCGGAGACCGUACAAGGCCCUCGGGUGAUGCCUUGCCCAGAAACCCUGGCUGCUGCCUGCUUGGGGCCAGGCACCUGGCCUGCCUUUACUCGCGCCAUCUCAUCAAAGUCUCCCGACUCCCUGGAGAAGGGGAAGCCUUCAGAAGCAAGAGGGAAAGGAGCCUCAGGCCCGGAAAAGCAAGGAAGAUGUCUCGGGCUUGGCUUCUUGUCCAGCGACAACACCGGCUCGCCGUGGUAGGUAUUGGAUCCUGUUGCCAAAGCAAGCCGAUGGGCCGUGGAGCUUUCCCUGAGAUUCCACAGGAGGAUGGCGAGGCUGCAGCCUUUUCCCAGGAUGCUAAUUAAAACUGCAAGUCGACCAAUGCAGCAGCAUAAAUAAUUCAACUUGGAGGAGCAUGGGGACCAGGGUUCACACGGCUGCUCAAAUCCCUCCAGAGCUCGCAGUCCUGGUUCACAUGCCCCAGAGAGGACAGCGUACACCGGUGGGAGCUGCCCUGCCUCGUGGGGAACCCUGGAUGAGAGGCCUGCACGGCCGCCUUGGUCCUGGCAGCCCAUGGCACCUGGGCGUGGCCACUGAGCCCCAUCUGGGGGUGCUGCCCGGUCCGCCUAUAGCUGCCAAACGGGAGCUGAAUCUGGAGGAAGGAUGUCCCUCCCCCUGAUGGUGUUUCAAGCGCCCUCCAGUUUGGGGCUUGGCCUGGACUCAUGUAGGCCUUCUGGUUUCUGAUUCCCAGAGCGCCCACAGGUGAACCCUUCUGACACCAGCCUCCUGACGUUACUACCUCUUCCUAGUAGAGUCCCAGGAGCCUGGCUGGCACUGCCGGGGGGCCGCGGGCCCCGCUCUCCACCUCAGUGGAACCCAGCUGGCAGCUGUCACAUCACCCUGGGAUCCUAGGAGGUCAGGGCGAGAGGUGCCAGAGGAAAGCCUCUUCUGCACUUUCCACUGUCACCGUUUGGGGCCAGGCAUUCCCUAAGUGACCAGCACGUCACCGUCCCCUGCACUCAUGAGGGGAACACUCUCGUGACCCUCACCUUCCAGAGAGACCAGCCGGGGUUCAUGGCUGUGUGCCCAAGAGCACACAGGGGUGGUGGUGAGGCCAGAGCCCACAGUCUUCAUGAAGGUCCAAGUCUGCAUUGAUCUGCUGGUCACGGGAUGGCUUAUGGAGCCACGCUCGGCGGUUGGGAGAAGAAAUGAGAGGCUCGUGAGGAGGAGGAGGCAAGGAUGUUUAGUUCCAAAGCCACGUCAGAUGAAGAGAAGGGAGCACAGGAGACACCACAGCUGACAGCGGAAUCUGUGGAUAAACUAAUGCCAGGGCUGAGUUUCUGGCAUGAGUCUCUUAACUGUGGGUGGCCGUGGGGGACUUGAUUCGCGAGCUCAACACGCCCUCUCCUGCCUCUUCCUCACCCUGGACUAGACAGACUCCAUCCUUGUGUCAGAGCAUUCAGCAGUUCAUGUGUUAGCUUGCUGUAUUUUUUUCUUCUUUUUGAGAGAGAAGGGGAGGGGCCGAGAGAGAGAGAAUCUGAAGCAGGCGCCACAUUCAGCACAGAGCCCGACGAAGGGCUCCAUCCCACGACCCUAGGAUCAUGACCUGCCUGGGCCAAAAUCAAGAGUUGGACGUUCAACCAACUGAGCCCCCCAGGCGCCCCAGUUCCCUGUUUUUUCUGAGCUAAGAACUGAACUGUGGUGAUGAGAGAGACCCAUCAAAAUAGUUUGACGUCACAGUGAACAAAUACCACGACUCCAUCCUUCUCGGACAGGAACCUGAUCUUCCUUGCUUUCUUCUGUUCACUAUGCAUUUUCCCCUGGUUUUCAAAGUGUGUAUUCAAAUCUCUUUUCAGAUGUAUAUCUUACCUUGUGUACCAUUAUUCCUCCUGUUUUCAAAAUAGAGGCUCACAGUGCUUGUCAA